rnacentral:pre_miRNA from 1 species
UUUGUACUCCCUCUGUCCCAAAGUUCUUGUCUUAAAUUUGUCUAAAUACGGAUGUAUCUAGUUACAUUUUAGUGUUAGAUACAUCCGUAUCUAAACAAAUGUAAGACAAGAAUUUUGGGACGGAGGGAAUACUAC